AUGACUGUUAUAACCAGCCUGCUUCUCAUUACAGUGUUCUUUACAAGUGUUGAAUGUCAGACACUGACUGAGUCUGAACCAGCAGUUAAAAAGCCUGGAGAAUCCCACAAACUGACCUGUACAGCCUCUGGGUUCACACUCAGCAGCUACUGGAUGGGCUGGAUCAGACAGGCUCCUGGGAAGGGGCUGGAGUGGGUGGGAUCUCAGUAUAGCAGCUCGAGUUAUUAUGCCCAGUCUGUUCAGGGAAGAUUCACCAUCUCCAGAGACAAUAGCCAGAACCAGCUGUAUUUACAGAUGAACAGCCUGACAGCUGAAGACACUGCUGUGUAUUACUGUAGCCACAGCAGAGAACUGGAUCUAAUGAAGGAAUAA